AGUGAACGCUGGCGGUAGGCCUAACACAUGCAAGUCGAACGGCAGCACAGUAAGAGCUUGCUCUUACGGGUGGCGAGUGGCGGACGGGUGAGGAAUACAUCGGAAUCUACUUUUUCGUGGGGGAUAACGUAGGGAAACUUACGCUAAUACCGCAUACGACCUACGGGUGAAAGCAGGGGAUCUUCGGACCUUGCGCGAUUGAAUGAGCCGAUGUCGGAUUAGCUAGUUGGCGGGGUAAAGGCCCACCAAGGCGACGAUCCGUAGCUGGUCUGAGAGGAUGAUCAGCCACACUGGAACUGAGACCCGGUCCAGACUCCUACGGGGGGCAGCAGUGGGGAAUAUUGGACAAUGGGCGCAAGCCUGAUCCAGCCAUACCGCGUGGGUGAAGAAGGCCUUCGGGUUGUAAAGCCCUUUUGUUGGGAAAGAAAAGCAGCAGGUUAAUACCCCGCUGUUCUGACGGUACCCAAAGAAUAAGCACCGGCUAACUUCGUG
rnacentral:rRNA from 1 species